AUCCUAUUAUUUGUUUUUUACUUAUUUUCUAUUUUUAUUUUAUUAUUAUAAAAAAGAAAAUAAAAAAGAAAGAAUAAAACAGCAACAGCAAGCACGUUGCUUCCCUCCCUCACUACUCUUUCUUUUCAAACUCAAACCAUUGUCUUUUUCCCAUAUUGGCAAAUCUUCACCAACCUCCUAAAGGGUUUGCUUUUCCUUCCCUUCUUGGCCACUCAAACCCUAAUUUUCUAGUAUAAGUAGGGGUAACUUUUCAGAGCAUAGGAGGAGGCGAUUUAGGAGAAAUUCAGAGAAGAAAAAACCAAAAAAAACACAUUUUUUUCAUCACUUUUUUCAUUUUUCGAAAUCACACCAAACACCUUCUAAACUUCAAUUUUCUUUCACUAAUCCCUUCUAACACAUACCAGUAGCGAAACACACAAGGAAAAAACGAAGGAAAACCGUUGAGAGAAGCUUACUCAAACUCCAAAAUUGCAAAGAAAAGAGUGAGUUCUAACUCAUCUAAGCAAGCUUCAAAACAACUGGAUAGUUGAGGUUUGACUCCGCCUUCUUCUUAGGUUCCAUUGGGAGGAAAGUCUCAAGCUUGUUGUGUAAACAAGGUGGAGCACAGAUUCAUGUUUGGGAGCAAUUAUCUU